rnacentral:rRNA from 1 species
GAAUUAAAUUUUCUUUAUUUUGCAAUAAAAAUAAAAGUAGGUCUGUUCGACCUUUAAAAAUUUACAUGAUUUGAGUUCAAACCGGCGUAAGCCAGGUUGGUUUCUAUCUUUUUUAAAUAUUUUCCAGUACGAAAGGACAAAAAAUAUUAUUUUUAAUAAUUUUUUUAUUGGCAGAAAAAUGCAUUAGAAUUAGAAUCUAAUCAUACUAUCAAUUACCCUAAUUAAUUGCAUUUUUCCUAUAAUUAGAAUUCUAAUUAGAGUAGCUUUUUACACAAUCAUAGAACGAAAAAUCUUAGGUUAUAUUCAAAUUCGUAAAGG